rnacentral:lncRNA from 1 species
UGGGAGUUUGGCAGCACACUGUCUAAGGAGAUUCCCAAGGAGCCAUUGUGUACAGCCUCCUUGUCCAGAUCUUCAAGAUAGAGAGUCACCAUCAGCUGUAAGGCCAG